GUCUCAGUUCGGAUUGGAGUCUGNAACCCGACUACAUGAAGCUGGAAUCGCUAGUAAUCGCGGAUCAGAAUGCCGCGGUGAAUACGUUCCCGGGUCUUGUACACACCGCCCGUCACACCAUGGGAGUCGGAAAUGCCCGAAGUCAGUGACCCAACCGGAAGGAAGGAGCUGCCGAAGGUGGAGCCGGUAACUGGGGUGAAGUCGUAACAAGGUAGC
rnacentral:rRNA from 1 species